CAGGAUGAACGCUGGCGGCGUGCUUAACACAUGCAAGUCGAACGGUGAAAGAGAGCUUGCUCUCUGGAUCAGUGGCGAACGGGUGAGUAACACGUGAGCAACCUGCCCCGGACUCUGGGAUAACAGCUGGAAACAGCUGCUAAUACCGGAUACGAGCUGCGAAGGCAUCUUCAGCAGCUGGAAAGAAUUUCGGUCCGGGAUGGGCUCGCGGCCUAUCAGCUAGUUGGUGAGGUAAUGGCUCACCAAGGCGUCGACGGGUAGCCGGCCUGAGAGGGUGACCGGCCACACUGGGACUGAGACACGGCCCAGACUCCUACGGGAGGCAGCAGUGGGGAAUAUUGCACAAUGGGCGAAAGCCUGAUGCAGCAACGCCGCGUGAGGGAUGACGGCCUUCGGGUUGUAAACCUCUUUUAGCAGGGAAGAAGCGAAAGUGACGGUACCUGCAGAAAAAGCGCCGGCUAACUACGUGCCAGCAGCCGCGGUAAUACGUAGGGCGCAAGCGUUAUCCGGAAUUAUUGGGCGUAAAGAGCUCGUAGGCGGUUUGUCGCGUCUGCUGUGAAAACCCGAGGCUCAACCUCGGGCCUGCAGUGGGUACGGGCAGACUAGAGUGCGGUAGGGGAGAUUGGAAUUCCUGGUGUAGCGGUGGAAUGCGCAGAUAUCAGGAGGAACACCGAUGGCGAAGGCAGAUCUCUGGGCCGUAACUGACGCUGAGGAGCGAAAGGGUGGGGAGCAAACAGGCUUAGAUACCCUGGUAGUCCACCCCGUAAACGUUGGGAA
rnacentral:rRNA from 1 species